rnacentral:tRNA from 1 species
GGGUCUGUAGCUGGAAGGUCAAGCGUUCUGCUCAUAGCAGAUUGAUUCGGGCUCAAUUCCCGACAGACCCACCA